ACGGCUGAACUGGCAACUUGGAGAAGUGGCAAGUCUUCCAGUAUGGGGAGCAAAACAGCUAUGGGUCAAGUCCGAUAUCUUUAGGAGGCGCGAAGCUCCUCUUAUUGUGAGGGCGAGUUUUAUAACACCAUAGGACUGGCCGUCCCAUAUGAAAAGAUUAUAUUAGAAUUGAAUGAAGCUUUGUUUAUAUAUUGAUAAUGACAGUAUAUAUAUCGUGUCUUGACUAAUUGCGUGCCAGCAGUCGCGGUAAUACGUAAGAGACUAGUGUUAUUCAUCUUAAUUAGGUUUAAAGGGUACCCAGACGGUCAAUAUAGCUUAUAAAAUGUUAGUACUUGACUAGAGUUUUAUGUAAGAGGGCAGUACUUGAGGAGGAGAGAUGAAAUUUCGUGAUACCAAAGGGACUCGGUAAAGGCGAAGGCAGCCCUCUAGGUAAAAACUGACGUUGAAGGACGAAGGCACAGAGAACAAACAGGAUUAGAUACCCAAGUAGUCUUUGCAGUAAAUGAUGAAUGCCAUAGGUUAGAUCUGAGUUGGUAGUCUAGUUGAGUUAGUUUACUAAACUAAUGAUCUAUACAAGCCAGCCUUAGAUUUGGUCUAUAAAUGAAAGUGUAAGCAUUUCACCUCAAGAGUAAUGUGGCAACGCAGGAACUGAAAUC
rnacentral:rRNA from 1 species